UAAAUUUGUCGUUAGGUGAGGUUACUAUAUAGAUAUACGCUACUGCCCAGAAAUGUCGAGAGACGCCAAUGGGUCAGCAGGUACUGCCGAAUUAAGGUUUUACUUAAUGUAGCUGACAACAUUCAUAGUAAUAUGAAUGCUUAUGCUCAAAGCUAUUUAGUGCUAAAGCUCAACGAAUGAAGACAGCG
rnacentral:sRNA from 1 species